rnacentral:rRNA from 1 species
UACGUAGGGGGCAAGCGUUGUCCGGAAUUAUUGGGCGUAAAGGGUGCGUAGGCGGCGCGGUAAGUCGGGUGUGAAAUCUCGGAGCUCAACUCCGAAACUGCAUUCGAUACUGCCGUGCUUGAGGACUGGAGAGGAGACUGGAAUUUACGGUGUAGCGGUGAAAUGCGUAGAUAUCGUAAGGAAGACCAGUGGCGAAGGCGGGUCUCUGGACAGUUCCUGACGCUGAGGCACGAAGGUCAGGGGAGCAAACGGG